GCCCCUGUGGCGCAAUCGGUAGCGCGUAAGACUUGCAAUCUUAAGGCUGUGGGUGAUCCCCACCAGGGGCU
rnacentral:tRNA from 1 species